rnacentral:rRNA from 1 species
AUUGAACGCUGGCGGCAUGCCUUACACAUGCAAGUCGAACGGUAACAGGUCUUCGGAUGCUGACGAGUGGCGCACGGGUGAGUAAUACAUCGGAACGUGCCCGAUCGUGGGGGAUAACGAGGCGAAAGCUUUGCUAAUACCGCAUACGAUCUACGGGUGAAAGCGGGGGAUCUUCGGACCUCGCGCGGACGGAGCGGCCGAUGGCAGAUUAGGUAGUUGGUGGGAUAAAAGCUUACCAAGCCGACGAUCUGUAGCUGGUCUGAGAGGAUGAUCAGCCACACUGGGACUGAGACACGGCCCAGACUCCUACGGGAGGCAGCAGUGGGGAAUUUUGGACAAUGGGCGAAAGCCUGAUCCAGCCAUGCCGCGUGCAGGAUGAAGGCCUUCGGGUUGUAAACUGCUUUUGUACGGAACGAAAAGCCUCUUUCUAAUAAAGAGGGGUCAUGACGGUACCGUAAGAAUAAGCACCGGCUAACUACGUG